UACAAAGUAGCCUAGGCCAGGGCACAGG
rnacentral:piRNA from 1 species